UAGGGAAUAUUGGACAAUGGGGGAAACCCUGAUCCAGCCAUGCCGCGUGAGUGAUGAAGGCCCUAGGGUUGUAAAGCUCUUUCGGCGGGGAAGAUAAUGACGGUACCCGCAUAAGAAGCCCCGGCUAACUUCGUGCCAGCAGCCGCGGUAAUACGAAGGGGGCUAGCGUUGCUCGGAAUCACUGGGCGUAAAGCGCACGUAGGCGGACUCUUAAGUCGGGGGUGAAAUCCUGGAGCUCAACUCCAGAACUGCCUUCGAUACUGAGAGCCUUGAGUCCGGGAGAGGUGAGUGGAACUGCGAGUGUAGAGGUGAAAUUCGUAGAUAUUCGCAAGAACACCAGUGGCGAAGGCGGCUCACUGGCCCGGUACUGACGCUGAGGUGCGAAAGCGUGGGGAGCAAACAGGAUUAGAAACCCCAGUAG
rnacentral:rRNA from 1 species